GCUUGCUCCACCGGAAAAAGAGGAGUGGCGAACGGGUGAGUAACACGUGGGUAACCUGCCCAUCAGAAGGGGAUAACACUUGGAAACAGGUGCUAAUACCGUAUAACAAUCAAAACCGCAUGGUUUUGAUUUGAAAGGCGCUUUCGGGUGUCGCUGAUGGAUGGACCCGCGGUGCAUUAGCUAGUUGGUGAGGUAACGGCUCACCAAGGCCACGAUGCAUAGCCGACCUGAGAGGGUGAYCGGCYMUAUUGGGACUGAGACACGGCCCAAACUCCUACGGGAGGCAGCAGUAGGGAAUCUUCGGCAAUGGACGAAAGUCUGACCGAGCAACGCCGCGUGAGUGAAGAAGGUUUUCGGAUCGUAAAACUCUGUUGUUAGAGAAGAACAAGGAUGAGAGUAACUGUUCAUCCCUUGACGGUAUCUAACCAGAAAGCCACGGCUAACUACGUGCCAGCAGCCGCGGUAAUACGUAGGUGGCAAGCGUUGUCCGGAUUUAUUGGGCGUAAAGCGAGCGCAGGCGGUUUCUUAAGUCUGAUGUGAAAGCCCCCGGCUCAACCGGGGAGGGUCAUUGGAAACUGGGAGACUUGAGUGCAGAAGAGGAGAGUGGAAUUCCAUGUGUAGCGGUGAAAUGCGUAGAUAUAUGGAGGAACACCAGUGGCGAAGGCGGCUCUCUGGUCUGUAACUGACGCUGAGGCUCGAAAGCGUGGGGAGCAAACAGGAUUAGAUACCCUGGUAGUCCACGCCGUAAACGAUGAGUGCUAAGUGUUGGAGGGUUUCCGCCCUUCAGUGCUG
rnacentral:rRNA from 1 species